rnacentral:rRNA from 1 species
GUACGGCCGCAAGGUUAAAACUCAAAUGAAUUGACGGGGGCCCGCACAAGCGGUGGAGCAUGUGGUUUAAUUCGAUGCAACGCGAAGAACCUUACCUGGUCUUGACAUCCACGGAAGUUUUCAGAGAUGAGAAUGUGCCUUCGGGAACCGUGAGACAGGUGCUGCAUGGCUGUCGUCAGCUCGUGUUGUGAAAUGUUGGGUUAAGUCCCGCAACGAGCGCAACCCUUAUCCUUUGUUGCCAGCGGUCCGGCCGGGAACUCAAAGGAGACUGCCAGUGAUAAACUGGAGGAAGGUGGGGAUGACGUCAAGUCAUCAUGGCCCUUACGACCAGGGCUACACACGUGC